ACUCCUACGGGAGGCAGCAGUGGGGAAUAUUGCACAAUGGGCGCAAGCCUGAUGCAGCCAUGCCGCGUGUGUGAAGAAGGCCUUCGGGUUGUAAAGCACUUUCAGUCGUGAGGAAGGUAGUGUAGUUAAUAGCUGCAUUAUUUGACGUUAGCGACAGAAGAAGCACCGGCUAACUCCGUGCCAGCAGCCGCGGUAAUACGGAGGGUGCGAGCGUUAAUCGGAAUUACUGGGCGUAAAGCGCAUGCAGGUGGUUUGUUAAGUCAGAUGUGAAAGCCCGGGGCUCAACCUCGGAAUAGCAUUUGAAACUGGCAGACUAGAGUACUGUAGAGGGGGGUAGAAUUUCAGGUGUAGCGGUGAAAUGCGUAGAGAUCUGAAGGAAUACGGUGGCGAAGGCGGCCCCCUGGACAGAUACUGACACUCAGAUGCGAAAGCGUGGGGAGCAAACAGGAUUAGAUACCCUGGUAGGAUAGCG
rnacentral:rRNA from 1 species